CCUACGGGAGGCAGCAGUGGGGAAUAUUGGGCAAUGGACGCAACUCUGACCCAGCAAAGCCGCGUGAGCGAUGAAGGUCCUCGGAUUUGAAAACCCCUUAAGCGGGGACGAAGAAAGUGACUGUACCCGCAGAAUAAGCCUCGCCUAACUACGAGCCAGCCGCCACGGGGAUACGGAGGCGUCAAGCGUUAUCCGGAAUGACUGGGGUUAAAGGGUUCGUAGGUGGUUUGGCAAGAUGGUAGGGUAAUCCCGGGGGUCAACCACGGUGCUGCCACCAAAACUGUUGGACUUGAGUGCAGGAGGGGUGUAUGGAAUGCGCGGUGUAGCGGUGGAAUGCUUAGAUAUUGGGCAGAACACCAGCUGCGAAGGC
rnacentral:rRNA from 1 species